rnacentral:rRNA from 1 species
UACGAAGGGGACUAGCGUUGUUCGGAAUUACUGGGCGUAAAGCGCACGUAGGCGGAUUUGUUAGUCAGGGGUGAAAUCCCGGGGCUCAACCUCGGAACUGCCUUUGAUACUGCAAGUCUCGAGUCCGAUAGAGGUGGGUGGAAUUCCUAGUGUAGAGGUGAAAUUCGUAGAUAUUGGGAAGAACACCGGUGGCGAAGGCGGCUCUCUGGACCGUAACUGACGCUGAGGCGCGAAAGCGUGGGGAGCAAACAGG